rnacentral:ncRNA from 1 species
UGGUUUGUAAUGUUGAGAUUGAUAUAUGAGUUUGCAAGAAAGCUGGCUAUUUUGUUGGUUUUCGGAGAGCGAGGUAAUGAUUAAAAGAGACAGACGGGGGCAUUCGUACUGUGCCGUUAGAGGUGAAAUUCUUUGGAUCGGCUCAAGACAAACGACUCGAAAGCAUUAGCCAAGAAUGUUUUCUUU